GACGUAGGGCGCGAGCGUUGUCCGGAUUUAUUGGGCGUAAAGAGCUCGUAGGCGGCUUGUCGCGUCAACUGUGAAAACCCGUGGCUCAACCAUGUGGUCUGCAGUCGAUACGGGCAGGCUAGAAUUCGGUAGGGGAGACUGGAAUUCCUGGUGUAGCGGUGAAAUGCGCAGAUAUCAGGAGGAACACCGGUGGCGAAGGCGGGUCUCUGGGCCGAUAUUGACGCUGAAGAGCGAAAGCGUGGGGAGCGAACAGG
rnacentral:rRNA from 1 species